rnacentral:rRNA from 1 species
AUUGAACGCUGGCGGCAGGCCUAACACAUGCAAGUCGAGCGGAUGAUGGUAGCUUGCUACCUGAUUCAGCGGCGGACGGGUGAGUAAUGCCUAGGAAUCUGCCUGGUAGUGGGGGACAACGUUUCGAAAGGAACGCUAAUACCGCAUACGUCCUACGGGAGAAAGUGGGGGAUCUUCGGACCUCACGCUAUCAGAUGAGCCUAGGUACGAUUAGCUAGUUGGUGAGGUAAAGGCUCACCAAGGCGACGAUCGUUAACUGGUUUGAGAGGAUGAUCAGUCACACUGGAACUGAGACACGGUCCAGACUCCUACGGGAGGCAGCAGUGGGGAAUAUUGGACAAUGGGCGAAAGCCUGAUCCAGCCAUGCCGCGUGUGUGAAGAAGGUCUUCGGAUUGUAAAGCACUUUAAGUUGGGAGGAAGGGCAGUAAGUUAAUACCUUGCUGUUUUGACGUUACCGACAGAAUAAGCACCGGCUAACUUCGUGCCAGCCGCCGCCGUAAUAC